CGUCGAGCUACUACGGUAGUGAAGUCAUUGAUGCCAUGCUUCCAGGAAAAGCCUCUAAGCUUCAGAUUGUAAGGAAUCGUACCCCAAACCGACACAGGUGGUCGGGUAGAGAAUACCAAGGCGCUUGAGAGAACUCGGGUGAAGGAACUAGGCAAAAUGGUACCGUAACUUCGGGAGAAGGUACGCUCUUGAUGGUGAAGUCCCUUGCGGAUGGAGCUGACGAGAGUCGCAGAUACCAGGUGGCUGCAACUGUUUAUUAAAAACACAGCACUGUGCAAAAUCGUAAGAUGACGUAUACGGUGUGACGCCUGCCCGGUGCCGGAAGGUUAAUUGAUGGGGUUAGCGUAAGCGAAGCUCUUGAUCGAAGCCCCGGUAAACGGCGGCCGUAACUAUAACGGUCCUAAGGUAGCGAAAUUCCUUGUCGGGUAAGUUCCGACCUGCACGAAUGGCGUAAUGAUGGCCACGCUGUCUCCACCCGAGACUCAGUGAAAUUGAAAUCGCUGUGAAGAUGCAGUGUACCCGCGGCUAGACGGAAAGACCCCGUGAACCUUUACUACAGCUUGGCACUGAACAUUGAACCUACAUGUGUAGGAUAGGUGGGAGGCUUUGAAGACGUGACGCCAGUUACGUUGGAGCCGUCCUUGAAAUACCACCCUUGUAUGUUUGAUGUUCUAACGUUGGCCCCUAAUCGGGGUUGCGGACAGUGCCUGGUGGGUAGUUUGACUGGGGCGGUCUCCUCCCAAAGAGUAACGGAGGAGCACGAAGGUGGGCUAAUCACGGUUGGACAUCGUGAGGUUAGUGCAAUGGCAUAAGCCCGCUUAACUGCGAGAAUGACGGUUCGAGCAGGUGCGAAAGCAGGUCAUAGUGAUCCGGUGGUUCUGAAUGGAAGGGCCAUCGCUCAACGGAUAAAAGGUACUCCGGGGAUAACAGGCUGAUACCGCCCAAGAGUUCAUAUCGACGGCGGUGUUUGGCACCUCGAUGUCGGCUCAUCACAUCCUGGGGCUGAAGUCGGUCCCAAGGGUAUGGCUGUUCGCCAUUUAAAGUGGUACGCGAGCUGGGUUUAGAACGUCGUGAGACAGUUCGGUCCCUAUCUGCCGUGGGCGUUGGAAGAUUGAAGGGGGCUGCUCCUAGUACGAGAGGACCGGAGUGGACGAACCUCUGGUGUUCGGGUUGUGUCGCCAGACGCAUUGCCCGGUAGCUAAGUUCGGAAUCGAUAACCGCUGAAAGCAUCUAAGCGGGAAGCGAGCCCUGAGAUGAGUCUU
rnacentral:rRNA from 1 species